AAUACCUCACGCAAAUAUAAGAGUGCAAAUAAAGACAUGUUGAGAAAAGAGUAGAGGCAAAAGCCAAAAGAUAAAAAUCUUACUGGACGCCUAUCACUUUGGUGAAGUUGAGGGUAAACGGACAAGGAAUGCAUGAAAAAGGAAGGAGGUAAGUGAUAAUUUAAUGUUAGCAAGGAAGACAUGCAAGUAAGGAACAAGUGCCCAUGUUCCUUAUUUUAGAUUUUUUUUAAAGAAAAAGGGAAUCUAUGCGAAAUCCUUUACCACAAGAAGGCAUUGUCACGGUAGUUAAAGACACUGGUAAUGUUUGGAUUUAUUUUGGAAGUAGUGUUAACAAUAACAUGGUCAUCGGCAACAGGGAUACGACUGUCGUUGGUAUAUACACAAAUACCUUGACCUUUAUAGCCAAUAUUACGGCAAGUAGCACCACCAAAUGGAGUGCGCAAAGCAGAGUUACAAUUAACGGGGUAUUGGGUGCCAUUGAAGCAAGUGUUAACCAAGUAAGGGUAAUCCGUAUUACACAAAGUCAUGUUGCAAGACCAAUCCAUUGAGGAAUCACGAGUGAAUAAGAUGGGUUGAUCAACAAUGUUGGUAUAGCUUAAAGAUAUACCGGAAGAACGCUUGCUGUGAGUGCUCGUACUUCCCGAACUAACGGAAGUGGUCACGUUGAUAACAUUUGCAUUGUCAAAGUUGGAAGAAUUAGCGCUAGUGGAGUAGUUGGAGGAUCCGAUCUGACAAAGACCGCGAGUUAGUCCGUAGGAAGAAUUGGUUUCAACACAUGCGGAACCACGACCCUUGGGAUAACCAAGCACAGUAGGGCAGUUCAAGAGAACAGUGCUAUGAUUAGCGCAAAUGGCAAUUACAUCGGGUGAAACACAAAGGUUGGAGCCACUUACAUGGCAAUAUGUACCUUCCGAAAUAUUAUAAUAGGAGGUAGAAGCUAUAGCAGAACUCAAGUCAGGAAAUGUGUCAGUUGCACGCUUAUAUAAAGAAAUCUCACGCCUUUUACAAGCAGGAGCACCUGGUAUGCCACAAAGCUUGAUGGACGAGACAUAGGAGAACGAGCAAAGGAAAAAGAUGGCCGAAAUCGCAAAAGAGGCAAAUGCAAACAUUUUUUUUAUAAAAUUAAAAUGUGAGAGUACGUAAAGUAAUUUUUGGAGACGAUAAUUUUGAGAACGGAAAAUGCAAUUGAAAAUAGGGGGAAAUAAUGGAACGAAAGGGAUAUCAGAUGAAUAGAAAAUGUAAGGACGAUAAGAAUAUAUGGAAUAAAAAUGUAGAGACGAUGAAGUCUUUUUGGAUCGAUUAAAAAGGAGGAAAGAUGAACAAUGAUAAUAAACUCAACUACUUCAAGGAGCUUUGUCAAACUGAAGCACCCAAACACUGGGACGACGUUUUACAAAGUAACUUAAGAGAAGGAAGACAAACGAUGUAAACAAAAGAUGUUUUCAAGUGGAAAACAGCCAAAAUGCAAAGACCAGAUUUUAUAGCAAACCGCAAUGGGGAAGCAGAUCGAUGUUUAUAUAUACGAGUUUAGCCUCGUUCGUUAGACGAUCCUGACAUCAUUUGUUUACAGUGGCAAGCUGGAGAAGCAGCCAAUCAGCGUUGAGAAUGUUCAUCGCAACCAGCCUGCGUCACCGUGUAAAUAAACAAACUCGGAGGGCAACCAGCCUAAUGUCAACAAAACAAUUCAGAUGGCUGGCAAUAUGUUCAAAGGUGGCCGGAUUGAACUGAAUAUAGCAAAUGUAGAAAAGAAACAUCAUGAAAACAUGAUAAAGUAUCUCAAUAUUAUUAUUAUUCAGUCUCACUAGUUAGUUGGGCAUUAUGGACAAAGAGCUUUGAUCAUCGCAACUCACUCCAAUUAACAAGUGUAAGUGAAUAGUCGCGAUACAAGUGCAUCGAUUCAAAUCCAUUCAUUCAGCUGCUCAUCAAAACAAAAGGCGGGACAAUUGUGAUGUGGUGUUAAAAUUCUUGAGGAUGUAUGUGAAUAUGGCAUACUAACUACCUGCCCCCUAGAUAUUCAGCUACACUCUCUUCAUGAAUGUUUGGAAGUGAGGCUGGCGCCGCAAUUAAACUAACUACAAUUUCUUUCUUCAUAGAUUAGGAUAGUAAAAGACUUGGAACUAUAUUUAUAUAUUAAAUAUUUAUUAUUUAUUAAUUUUUGAAAGGAUAAUGUGUGAGCAACAUAGUUGUUUUCGAAUAGCAGGAAUUUCAAAUUACCCAUAUAGAAGACAUCCAGUAUUGAAAAAGGUAGAAACAAAAAAUGAGUUGGAAAUCAAUUAAUACAUCAACUAUGGUUAAGUAUUUGGUUUAACGGACGCUGUAAAAUUUUGCCUUUCAGAGGAUAUAUUUCAACUAGUAGGGGAAAAAAGAAGUUCCUUGCUUCAGUAAAUUUAUAAAAUCCACUGGAGCUUUUUUACAAACAAAUUUUCAUUAUCUACAAUUGAAACUGCAAUUUGGAAAGAUUGCACGUAAAAAAAAAAAGGAAAGAACAUGCAAGAGUUUCAAUUGUAACACCCUUCUGCAAUAAUCGGCCAAUGUUGUCGAUAAGAUAUAAAGGCUUUAAACAACCAACCA